UUCAAUCCGCAAACACCCUUAGAAAUAAUCAUUUGAUCGAUCUCAACUGAUCGCUUUGCGAUCUUCAAUAUUUUUGUUGCCUCAUGGUGUGUUUGAUAUUAUUUGAUAUUUUCCGUAUUGCAAAAAUGAAAAUCAAGAAAAUAUAUUUGGGGGGCCUGGAAAUUGGCCUUUUCCACUUCUAAAGCACUGCAGAGAAGAGUUUGAAAAAAAAUGGGGUUUGUCGGUUGGCUGUCUCCCAGCCAGGCCCACAAACUACUUUUUUCUGCAUUCUUUUUAGCAACCCUCUUGGUACAGCAACCGUUUAUUUGUAAAUUUUGAAAAAUUUUCUACCAUUUUUUUCCCUCUUUGUCAAAUUUUUGCGUACGUAUCUCUCUAGUAUAAUAUCCGAUUUUUUUUCCCUUCUUUUCCAAAUCUUAUUUAAUAAGAACUGGAGUUAAUUUUAUUUGCAAAUUGUUUGUUUUGACAAACACGGUUCCAUGUGUAUAUGAUUUUUAGUUUGUACAUGUUAUUUCCUUUUUUUAGAUGAGAUUUUUGAACAUUAUCAUAAAGCAUUAGUUAUAGAAAUUUAAAAUUUUUUUAUGGUAAUAACUAAAUGCUAUUCUUUUUAAUACUUGCCCAUUUACUUUUUCUUAAACUAACUCCAGUUUUUAUGAAACAAGAUCAAGGGAAAAAAAAAGAGGAAAAAAUAGCUGAUCCUCGUCUAUUCUUUUUUUUUUUUUUAAAAAAAAGAUUUAUCGCUGAUCCUUCUAAAUCUUGCCUGCAUUAAUUAGUUUGAACUUUUGUAUCUUCGAUUCUUUGUCCAACAACAUGUUACGAAUCUUCGCUGUACUUUCAAAAUCCAUGUGCAUAAUCAGCACAUGAUGUUUACGACUCUUCCCUGCUGACCUGAAGUCGUCCUUGGCAUUUUUCUAAACGUGUUCAUUUGAUCCUUGAUCUCAAUGGAUCAUUUGCAAUCCUCAUUAUGUUUGUUGCCUUGGUGUCUGCUGUCUUCUUGAUAUUAGCAUUCACUUUUGGUUUAUCUAGAGGAGUAGGUUCAGCUUCUUUUAUCAUCUUGUUAUUAUUGUCGAUCACCUGGCCGCAGUGGGCAUCUUAGGCUUGAUUUUCUACCGCGUGAGGAGAGUUGAAUAAAUGUACAUAUAUUAACUACAAUCUAGGAAACUAAUUUAAAUAGGAUAAGGAUUCUUAAUGUGCAUUAGAUCCUUCUAAAAAAAAAAGAAAAAGAAAAAAACACCUUCAAGUUCAUUUGAAAUGGUUAUACUUACUUCAAUAUUUUUCUUUUAUAGAACGUAGUUAUGCAUCAACUUAAUUUUCAAAUCUCACUAUUCAUGGAGCGUCACGUAUUGACAAUUUGAAUAUGUUAAAAUCGAAAUAAAUCGUAAUCGUAAUAAGUUGAAUUAGAGUGGAGAAUGAAAAUCAGAAUAAGUUGAUUAUUUGAAAUACAACAAUAAUAAUAAGAAUCAACAAUA
rnacentral:lncRNA from 1 species